rnacentral:lncRNA from 1 species
AUGGGGUGGGUGCUCUAUGGAGCUGGGCAAGAGCAAGUCGGGACCUUCCCUCUGAAUCUGAGAGAGACAUCAGAUUGCCUCUCUGUAACUCUGGUGUGUGUGUGUGUGUGUGUGUGUGCAUGUGAGGGGACAGUGGAGAUAUUUUUAUUUUUAUUUUUUGGUACUAGGGAUUGAACCCAGGGGCACUCAAUCCCUGGGCCACAUCCCCAGCCCUUUUUUAUAAUAAUAUUGUGAGAUAGUCUCACUAAAUUGCUUAGGGCCUUGCUAAGUUGCUGAGGCUGGCUUUGAACUUGUGAUCAUCCUGCCUCAGUCUCUUGAGCCACUGGGAUUCUACAGGUGUGUGUCACCAUGCUCGGCUGAGAGAGAUUUUUAAAGGAGUGCAGUACCCUCCUGAGUCAGCAUAUUAGCAGCAGAAAGGGUGGGAGAGCCCCCCAGAGGGCAGAUAUUUCAGAGGGGAGCCUAGGCUAUAAGACCCAGUCAUGAUUCCACACAGAGAAUGUUCCAUUAGAAUCCUUAGAGGGUGUACUGGAUUUAGCAAGGGUCCCCAAUUUUUCAUGUCCAUCCAGAGCCUCAAAAUAUGACCUUAUUUGUAAACAGGGUCUCCACAGAGAAGUUAGUUUUCUUAUGAUGAGGUCAUAUGGAUCACAGUGAAUCCUAAUUUUAUAACUGGUACCUUUUUAAAAAUUUUUAAUUUAAUUUAGUUUUUAAAUUUAUAUAUGACAGCAGAAUGCAUUAUAAUUCUUAUAACAUAUAUACAGCACAAUUUUUCAUAUCUCUGUAUACAUAGUCACACCAAUUCGUGUCUUCAUACAUGUACUUUGGAUAGUAAUGAUCAUCACAUUCCACCAUCAUUAAUAACCCCAUGCCCCUUCCCUUCGCUUCUCGUCCUUCUGCCUUAUCUAGUGUUGGUCUAUUCCUCCCAUGCUCCCCCUCCCUAUCCCACUAUGAAUCAGUCACCUUAUAUCAAAGAAAACAUUUGGCAUUUGGUUUUUUGGGAUUGGCUGACUUCACUUAGCAUUAUCUUCUCUAACCCCAUCCAUUUACCUGCAAAUGCCAUGAUUUUAUUCUCUUUUAUUGCUGAGUAAUAUUCCAUUGUGUGUAUAUGCCACAUUUUUUUUUAUCUGUUCACCUAAUGAUCUUUAUAGGAAAAUGGAAAUUUGGGAAGAGAAACAGAUACCUAGAGAAGGCCAUAUGAAGACAGAAAGAAGCAAGGACUGGAGUGAUACACAGGCCGAGGUUGGAGAGAUGUGCUGUAAACCAACAGCUGCUGAGGAUUGUUAACAACCCAAUCCUCAUAAACCAGGAAGAUGCAAGUGAGGAUUCUUCCCUGGAUCUUUCAAAGGGAGCAUGGCCUGGCUGUCAUCCUGAUUUGGGACUUCUAGCUUCCAGAACUAUGUGAAGAUAAUUUCUGUUGUUUUAGGUCACACGGAUACUAUGAUGGCAACCCUAGGAAAUCAGUAGAGGCCAAACCUUGGGUCAUCUGUGAUGCUGCCUACAGUGUACCCCAUGUUUCUCCCAUCCUGUGAGUUGUUUCACCAAUGGCUCAGUCUCAGUUGUAAAUCUGCCUCCUAAAGUCCCUAUUCUGGAGGAGAGAGACACCCAGCUGAAGGUGGACCAGCCAGCACCAUGUUCCUUCCCGUCUCUGGACCAAAAUGAGAAAGAGAAACUGUCUUACUUCCCUCUGCUCUCCAUUUUAUGCUCAUUUUUCCUGGUUUAGUUAGACCCUCGGGGUUAACAUGGAUUUUAAAAAUUCCUAGUCCCCACUGAAUGCCCGACUUCUCUUGGCAAUGUCUCUAGUAAGAGGUCAUCUUGCCCCCUCCCCCAGUUCGACCCCUCUAGGAUCUCAGGAAUGUCUUAUUGCCCCUUCCUUCUCCCUCUCGCCCUUCCAUGAAUAUUCAUCGACUACUAGCUCUGUGCAGGGAGCAAAAGACUGAGCCCCUGCCCAUAUAUUUGAUGCUGUAGAUUUGAUGCUGUAAAGCUCUUCCUUUGUCAGCUCCUGAUCUGCUGCCAAGGCAAGCCAAGCCUGUUCUUGGUCUAGGCAGGAAGGGGAAUUGUGGUGGUGAACUUGUCACUACUCCCCUUCAAGGUCAAUCAUGUCCUGCUCUCACAUCUAGACCAGUGUAGGCAUCAGGAAAGGAAAAACAGUUGAGAUGGCAUCUCACUCCUCUUUAAUCAGUCUGGUUGCUAUAAGUGGCCUCCAAACCCAUUUUACAAGACAAUUGAUGUCUAAAACACUCCAACCAUGGCCACCUCUACGCUGUAUUUAUCUCCAAAUCAAAUUAAGUAUCCGAUGUGUGUUCAGAAGGGAUUGCUUUUAUUAUAUGGGACACACAUUGUCACAUGAUGUUGAAGAGUGUUAUCACACGUGUAUUUACCAAAAUGCAAUAUAUGUAAUUAUAUAUUUCAUUGUAUAAGAAAUAAAAUCUUUGGCAGGGUUACCCAAUGCAUUGAAUAAUCUGAUGACAUUUUAUGGACAUUUUGGAGCUAGCAGAAACUUUGUAAUGAUCUAGCUUUCUCAUUUUUAUGACAGAGGAAACAAAAGUAGAAAGAGCUAACUUACCCUGUCCCACAGAGAGCUAGAGACUGACAGGAGAAUCACACUCAUAUCUCUGGCUUCUUCCCAGUGGCCUGCGGGGAUGUAUUCCAUUUGUGGAUGAGGAUCCUGAAGCUUUUGAAAAGCGAAACCUUUGAUGGACAGCCAAGGUCACGUGAUUGGUGUUUCUAUACAAUAUAGGAAGGGCACUUUACUUCUUCUUGGAGAUAGACACCUUGACAGCUGGAUAGAGGUAAG